UCCUCGGUAGCUCAGCGGUAGAGCGGUCGGCUGUUAACCGAUUGGUCGUAGGUUCGAAUCCUAUCCGGGGAG
rnacentral:tRNA from 12 species